UGAUACCGGAUAGUUCCUUGAACCGCAUGGUUCAAGGAUGAAAGACGGUUUCGGCUGUCACUUACAGAUGGACCCGCGGCGCAUUAGCUAGUUGGUGGGGUAAUGGCUCACCAAGGCGACGAUGCGUAGCCGACCUGAGAGGGUGAUCGGCCACACUGGGACUGAGACACGGCCCAGACUCCUACGGGAGGCAGCAGUAGGGAAUCUUCCGCAAUGGACGAAAGUCUGACGGAGCAACGCCGCGUGAGUGAUGAAGGUUUUCGGAUCGUAAAGCUCUGUUGUUAGGGAAGAACAAGUGCGAGAGUAACUGCUCGCACCUUGACGGUACCUAACCAGAAAGCCACGGCUAACUACGUGCCAGCAGCCGCGGUAAUACGUAGGUGGCAAGCGUUGUCCGGAAUUAUUGGGCGUAAAGGGCUCGCAGGCGGUUUCUUAAGUCUGAUGUGAAAGCCCCCGGCUCAACCGGGGAGGGUCAUUGGAAACUGGGAAACUUGAGUGCAGAAGAGGAGAGUGGAAUUCCACGUGUAGCGGUGAAAUGCGUAGAGAUGUGGAGGAACACCAGUGGCGAAGGCGACUCUCUGGUCUGUAACUGACGCUGAGGAGCGAAAGCGUGGGGAGCGAACAGGAUUAGAUACCCUGGUAGUCCACGCCGUAAACGAUGA
rnacentral:rRNA from 2 species